GACUUCCUUGUUUAAAACAGUAGUUUCCACUGCUUAAUUAACAUUGCCUUAGAAAUGUCCCUAUUUGCUAUGUGGUCUCCUCUUGGUUGUUGGGAUUAGAUUGAUAUUUCACCCUGGGCUGUAAAGUUCAUUAUGUUCACAGGCUUUAAGCUAUUAUUAAUUAUUAAACCUAGUGACAGGCUCCAUUAAUCAAAACCUUGGCCUUGAUUUAAACGGCUCCUUCAUGUUAGUUUGAAAGAAGACACUACAGUAUCACUUAAUUUUCUAGCUAUUUAGGGAUGUCUCUUUUCUCAUUGUUUUUGUCUUUUCACAGAGAUGACAUCACUCGCCUGAUCUAGUCAGCUUUGUUUCGGAGCUGAAGACUGUCCUGGUAAGAGCAUCUGUUAUUGCCUAAGAUUGAUAUAAUAAUAAUAAUACAUACAGUACUGAAAUGCUGGUGAUUGAAUGUAAACAGGAAGUGUUUUAUGUUCCAGGAAGUGGCCCUGAAGAGCAGGCUGGAGUGUCGCUCCAUACCCCCUCCACAGUACUACUCUCAGCUCAUCACUGAGAUGGAGAACCUACGGUUGGGAAAGACUACCGAGGUUUUAUUUCCUCACGUGUUUCGUGCUCUGGUUGCCAGUGGUAACACCUUUGAGGAACAAGCUCAAUGCCAACAUGCAUUUAUGGAGCCCGGACUGCAGCGGCUUGCAGAACCUCAGUGAUGUUUUGGAGAUAGAAUUCCUGUCACCUGCCACCCACGAAAAAUCUGUACGUUGUAUUUCCCUGUUUCAAACACCUAGCCCUCACAAUUACCUCUUCCGAGCAAUCGUGUGUGUGGUGGACAGAUAUAUAUUUUUCUGUCUGUUAUUCUUUUUUAUGUUUGCUGGAGGUGGGUGUGCAUCCCCUUUAAUUGGGUUGUUUGCAGAAAAAAAUCAUUUGAAUAACAAAGAUGGCAGAAUCCUUGCCACUAUCAAGAUUGCUUUAAUCACACAUUUAUCCAUUUAUCUUUUUCUUUUUUUACUUGCCGGCGGAUGGGUUGAAAGGGUGCCGUGUUUAUCCGCUGUCGCCGCAGUGAUUAAUGCCUCAGCAUCAUUAACAUUCGGAAGAGUGAAAAGUUUACUUGACCAGAUGUUGACAUUUUACCUGCCAUCCUCUUUUUAAUGGAUCGCUUGGAGUCAAAAAAGGGGUUUCUCAUUACACGAAAAGCAAUAUGCAAAAAGAGAGCGAGUGUAGGGGAGGUGGAUAGACUGGUAGAAAAGAGAAAGUGUUGUGUAGUGGGAUAGAGGAAGUGAAGAGGGGUGGUUAGAGAGAGAGAAAGGAGAGACAGGAGGAGAGAUUUCAGUGAAUUCUGUGUCUUGAUCAGUGAUUCUGUGGUGUGUCUUGUAGAGUUUCAGUGUGGAGUGUGGGAUCUGUUAUCUGAUCCUACAUUCUGGAGUCAGCCAUUCCUGAUCAGGUGUGUGCAAUGACCAUCACUGCAGCCAAUCGUUCCACCAGACGUCUGUACGAGGUGAGGGACACACGCCCACGACUAUCCAACCUGAUCAGUAGGCCUGUCUAUAUUAUAAAAGAUCACAACACACACAAUAUCCAAAAUGAGACCUGCUACUUUUUAAAUAAAUUCAUACAAAAGUCAAAGGAUGCAAAAGUCAUAUAGUAUAAUACAAAAGUCAUUUCAGGUGUUUGCUUCUUUGCAUUGCUCAAAUCAUGCCACUACAGGCACAAGGUAAAUGGGUAACUUCAGUUUCAAACCAGUGUUAAGUUUGACUAGUUCUUGUUCGGUCUCCCUAAAUAUUUGCCAAUAACAAUAUAGUCCAUGUGAAAAAAUGAAUUUAUUUGUUUUUUGUUGUUGUUUGCAGCCCAUCACAGUGAAAAUGUCCACCCAUAAACACUGAGAGUUGACUGGAGCCAGGCCCUGGACAUAAGAACUCAUGGUUUCACAUGAGCCUCAGCAAAUCGACUCGCUCCAUCUAAUGUAUUGUCUCACUCCAGUCAUGACACACAAAAAAACACAAAAAAAGUAUAUAUAUACAGUUGA
rnacentral:lncRNA from 13 species